AAUUUGUCGCUCCAGAUCCAGGUCUCCAUGAUGUUUGAUGGCCACUCAGCCGUUGAUGUGCACCCUAAAACCAGUACGGAUGACUUAAAGGCAUUUACGUCCCUUAGCCUGUACAUGAAGCCUCCUUCGAAGCAGCCGGAACUGGCAGGGACAGCAGAUCAGUUCAUCCUGUACCUUGGAAGCAAAAAUGCCAAAAAAGAGUAUAUGGGUCUUGCAAUAAAAAACGAUAACCUGGUAUACAUUUAUAACUUGGGAACUAAGGAUGUGGAGAUUCCACUGGACUCCAAGCCUGUCAGUUCCUGGCCUGCUUACUUCAGCAUUGUCAAGAUUGAAAGGUAAAAUGGAUCCACGAUGUACAACUUAUAUGCACAUUUCAUACGAAAUACAUUGAGUGCACUCACAUACACACAGUCCUCCUGUGGACAUCAUAAAUAACAUUGUCUUCCUUUGAUUCUUGCUCCUUUUCCUCCAUUAUUUUUAUAUUCCUUCCCAAACACCUUCAUAGAAAAGAUUGGGGAAAAAAUAGCUAUCGUUUUUAAGUUAUAAUGUGAUUAUUCCAUCUUUUUACAUGACCAACCCAUAAGUAAAUUCUAAAAUGAAACAUCUUUUCUUCUCUUCUCAUUGAUGGUUAGCAUUAGAUAAAUAUUUAUUAAUGUGACAAAACCAAAUGACCCAUUUGGUGAUAAAGAAACAUUAACAUUUUGAUGUUAAAUAAGUAUUUUCUACAAAUUACAAGACGAAUAAAGAGUGAAAACCCUUUUUCUCCACAGGGUAGGGAAACACGGAAAGGUGUUUUUGACAGUCCCAAGUCUAAGUAGCACAGCCGAGGAGAAGUUUAUUAAAAAGGGGGAGUUUGCAGGAGACGACUCCUUGUUGGAUCUGGACCCUGAGGACACGGUGUUUUAUGUUGGUGGGGUGCCUUCAAACUUCAAGGUGAGCUUUCUAGAUAUAUGCUGACUUAUUACAAAUCUACAUAAAUCCAUCAAUAU
rnacentral:lncRNA from 1 species